rnacentral:rRNA from 1 species
AUCAGCAUGCUACGGUGAAUACGUUCCCGGGUCUUGUACACACCGCCCGUCACACCACGAGAGUUUGUAACACCCGAAGCCGGUGGAGUAACCUUUUGGAGCUAGCCGUCGAAGGUGGGACAAAUGAUUGGGGUGAAGUCGUAACAAGGUAGCCGUAUCGGAAGGUGCGGCUGGAUCACCUCCUUUCUAAGGA